rnacentral:lncRNA from 1 species
GGUCUUCAGUUUACGCCUGCGUAUACUUCAUACACACAUUAUUAAUUAUCGCUACCAACAACUAAUCCUUAAAAAAUAACAUUGUCUAUAUAUUAAAUAUUUUUUACUUAGAAUAAAAUACUACAACUUGUAAACCUCCUAACUAUGAUAGUUAUUGGAUCAUAUGUUUAUAAAUUUGAUAAAAAGAAAAGAUCAAACUUUCACAGAAU